rnacentral:rRNA from 1 species
CCUACGGGUGGCAGCAGUGAGGAAUAUUGGUCAAUGGACGCGAGUCUGAACCAGCCAUGUAGCGUGAAGGAUGACUGCCCUAUGGGUUGUAAACUUCUUUUAUAAAGGGAUAAAACGAGGCACGUGUGCCUGGUUGAAUGUACUUUAUGAAUAAGGAUCGGCUAACUCCGUGCCAGCAGCCGCGGUAAUACGGAGGAUCCGAGCGUUAUCCGGAUUUAUUGGGUUUAAAGGGUGCGUAGACGGGUUGUUAAGUCAGUGGUGAAAUGUUGCGGCUCAACCGUAAAAUUGCAAUUGAUACUGGCAGUCUUGAGUACAGUUGAGGUAGGCGGAAUGCGUGGUGUAGCGGUGAAAUGCUUAGAGAUCACGAAGAACCCCGAUUGCGAAGGCAGCUUACCAAACUGUGACUGACAUUGAUGCUCGAAAGUGUGGGUAUCAAACAGGAUUAGAUACCCUGGUAGUC